CAGUCGCCGCGGGAAUACAGAGGGUGCGAGCGUUAAUCGGAUUUACUGGGCGUAAAGCGUGCGUAGGCGGCUAAUUGAGUCGGAUGUGAAAUCCCCGAGCUUAACUUGGGAAUUGCAUUCGAUACUGGUUAGCUAGAGUGUGGGAGAGGAUGGUAGAAUUCCAGGUGUAGCGGUGAAAUGCGUAGAGAUCUGGAGGAAUACCGAUGGCGAAGGCAGCCAUCUGGCCUAACACUGACGCUGAGGUACGAAAGCAUGGGGAGCAAACAGGAUUAGAUACCCCCGUAGUCCCUGUCUAUUAUAA
rnacentral:rRNA from 1 species